rnacentral:rRNA from 1 species
AUUGAACGCUGGCGGCAGGCCUAACACAUGCAAGUCGAGCGAGCGGCGGACGGGUGAGUAAUGCCUAGGAAUCUGCAUGGUAGUGGGGGAUAACGUCCGGAAACGGUAGCUAAUACCGCAUACCAUCAGAUGUGCCCAGAUGGGAUUAGCUAGUAGGUGGGUUAACGGCUCCCAUAGGCGACGAUCCCGAGCUGGUCUGAGGGGAUGACCAGCCACACUGGAACUGAGACACGGUCCAGACGCCUACGGGAGGCAGCAGUGGGGAAUAUUGCACAAUGGGCGCAAGCCUGAUGCAGCCAGGCCGCGUGUGUGAAGAAGGCCUUCGGGUUGUAAAGCACUUUCAGCGGGGAGGCGUUACCAACAGAAUAAGCACCGGCUAACUUCGUGCCAGCCGCCGCGGUAAUUC